rnacentral:rRNA from 1 species
AACGAACGCUGGCGGCAUGCCUAACACAUGCAAGUCGAACGAGACCUUCGGGUCUAGUGGCGCACGGGUGCGUAACGCGUGGGAACCUGCCCUUAGGUUCGGAAUAACUCCCCGAAAGGGGUGCUAAUACCGGAUAAUGUCUUCGGACCAAAGAUUUAUCGCCUUUGGAUGGGCCCGCGUUGGAUUAGCUAGUUGGUAGGGUAAAAGCCUACCAAGGCGACGAUCCAUAGCUGGUCUGAGAGGAUGAUCAGCCACACUGGGACUGAGACACGGCCCAGACUCCUACGGGAGGCAGCAGUGGGGAAUAUUAGACAAUGGGCGAAAGCCUGGUCCAGCAAUGCCGCGUGAGUGAUGAAGGCCUUAGGGUUGUAAAGCUCUUUUACCCGGGAUGAUAAUGACAGUACCGGGAGAAUAAGCUCCGGCUAACUCCGUG